AUCUGGAAGGGAGUCUAGCAUCAGCAGCACAUGGACCAGGGCCGAGAUAGUAUAGGAUGACCGUUGCCCCCACUGGUUACCAGUGGUACUGAUUAAUGGGAUGAACAGAAUUCUAUUAGGAGCAGUUUGUAUGAAAGUUAAUGUUUGAAUGCCGUGGUUAUGAAGAAACCAAGGGUAGAAACGAAUGUACUGGACAGUGUGAUAGUUAACAACCUUUGUGCCAAUUUAUAUGGGGCUUUUCGAUUCUUCGGAGCAGCAAACUAUAAAGGAGAAAUUAGUAUAACUGCCUACGACUAACAAUUUACAUAACAUUAUUUGUUUAUGAAGCUAGUGUUGACAAUUACAUCAAACAUUGUACUUUAUUGUAAAUGCUUACAGUACAAAACAUGCCAGUCAGUGGAUUACACUGUGUAUGAUUUGAUGUUGAAUAACUGGACGUAUUAUGGAAACGCCCCUGAAGGGUGGGCAGGCGGCAUCCACAGACUUUGUCCGGAGCUUAUUUUCUUAAUGCAAUGGAGGGAUAUUGAUGAAACUUGGUACAGGUGUUCACCUUUAUGAGACGGAGUGUUAUGCACAAAAAACAGGUCUACGGUCAAGGUCACAUUUGAAGGUCAAAGGAUACAAGAAUGAAAACUUUGGUUCAUACUUGGAAGUUAAAGGUCAAUUUCUUUAUAUGAUACUGCAAGUUCAUAAGCGCUUAUUUUUGGUGCUUCAACAUGUAUUCCGCGAGAAACUGGGUCACAUGCGGUCAAAAACUAGGUCAUUAGGUCAUGUAUAUUGAAACUUUCCCCAAAAAGCUGCAACAGUCAUUCCUGAUCAAGUAAUGCAAAAGUUAACAAAUGUCAGGCCUUCAUGUUUCGACUGUGAGCAUGCGCAAAAAACACCCUCUUCCCCAGUAAUUUUGGAUAAAUAUUUUUUAUACAAAUUAAUGUAAAUCAUUUAUUUAUACAGAAUAUUUACCAAUUUUGUUUUUGUUUACACCAGUUGGUGUUGUAAGUGGAAACUAUUAGAUGGUGUGUUCAAUUUUAUAAAUAACCGAUUGCAAUCGAAUAUUUCCAAGGUGGUCAACUUAUCAUCUGUCCGGGUUUAUCAUUAGUACCAGUACCCUUGUAAUUUGCUUAUUUUUGGCAGGACAUUAAACAAGAAAGCUUUAUAAAAAAAAUUAUUGUGUUAUAUAAUAUAUGAGUAACACUUGAUUGCUUUUGAAUACUGUACAAAAAUAUGUUCAACAGCCAAUUUGGAGUUCUAAUGAACUUUAUUUUUUUACUAUUUUUUCACUUCACUUGCCAUUUAUUUUGAAAUAGCCCAACAUUUUAGAUGUCACAGAUGUAACUAAAUCUUUAUGAAACUGGGUCUAUCAGUUUUAGGUCAAGUUUUACUGGGUCAUGUGGUGUCAAAAACUUGGUCAGUAAGUCAGAUCAAAGGAAAAGAUUGUGACCACUCUGGAGACGCAUUUAAGACCCAAUAUAAUUUAUAAAACUUGGUCAUAAUGUUAAGUCUUGAUGAUCUGUAGGUAAAGUUUGAAUGUGGGUCAUGUAGGGUCAAUACCUAGGUCAGUAGGUCAUACCUAUAGAAAAGAGUGGGAACUUAGAGGCCACAGUUGUGACACAAUUUUUAGCUCACCACAGCAAUGCUCAUGUGAGCGUUUUUGACCGCACAAUGUUUGGUGUCUGUCGUGACUUCUGUUAACAUUUAGCUUGUGUAUGCGAUACAGGCUGUAUUUUUCAACAGUUACUGGUCUUCAUGAAAUUUUGUCAGAAUGGUUACCUUUAUGAAAUCUAGGCCAAGUUCGAAAAUGGGUCAUCUGGGAUAAAAAAAGAACUAGGUCACUAGGUCAAAUGAAAGAAAAACUUUGUGUAUGCGAUAAAGGCUCUAUUUUUCAGUUGGUCUUCAUUAAUUUUUUUCAGAAUAAUAACCUUGAUGAUUCCUUCGUCAGGUGAGCGAUACAGGGCCUUCAUGGCCCUCUUGUUAUAUUAGUCUUGAAAUUUGGAACAUUCAAAAACGGCUCAAUGGUGUGAUCUCUUGUUAUGUAUUAAAGUGACUCCCGUUCUCUUUGACCUCAAUAUUAUGCAUUAUUUUUUACCCUUGCAUUUUCAAUCUGUUGUAGCCUAGAUAUUAUUGCUUUCCUGUACGGCUCACUGUCACUAUAUAUAUACGAUACAUCUAUAAGAAUAAAGUCUGUUCAGCAGGAA